rnacentral:rRNA from 1 species
GAUGAACGCUUGCGGCGUGCCUAAUACAUGCAAGUCGAGCGAACAGACGAGGAGCUUGCUCCUCUGACGUUAGCGGCGGACGGGUGAGUAACACGUGGAUAACCUACCUAUAAGACUGGGAUAACUUCGGGAAACCGGAGCUAAUACCGGAUAAUAUAUUGAACCGCAUGGUUCAAUAGUGAAAGACGGUUUUGCUGUCACUUAUAGAUGGAUCCGCGCCGCAUUAGCUAGUUGGUAAGGUAACGGCUUACCAAGGCGACGAUGCGUAGCCGACCUGAGAGGGUGAUCGGCCACACUGGAACUGAGACACGGUCCAGACUCCUACGGGAGGCAGCAGUAGGGAAUCUUCCGCAAUGGGCGAAAGCCUGACGGAGCAACGCCGCGUGAGUGAUGAAGGUCUUCGGAUCGUAAAACUCUGUUAUUAGGGAAGAACAAAUGUGUAAGUAACUAUGCACGUCUUGACGGUACCUAAUCAGGAAGCCACGGCUAACUACGUG